GAUGAGCGCUGGCGGCGUGCCUAAUACAUGCAAGUCGAGCGAACGGACGAGAAGCUUGCUUCUCUGAUGUUAGCGGCGGACGGGUGAGUAACACGUGGAUAACCUACCUAUAAGACUGGGAUAACUUCGGGAAACCGGAGCUAAUACCGGAUAAUAUUUUGAACCGCAUGGUUCAAAAGUGAAAGACGGUCUUGCUGUCACUUAUAGAUGGAUCCGCGCUGCAUUAGCUAGUUGGUAAGGUAACGGCUUACCAAGGCAACGAUGCAUAGCCGACCUGAGAGGGUGAUCGGCCACACUGGAACUGAGACACGGUCCAGACUCCUACGGGAGGCAGCAGUAGGGAAUCUUCCGCAAUGGGCGAAAGCCUGACGGAGCAACGCCGCGUGAGUGAUGAAGGUCUUCGGAUCGUAAAACUCUGUUAUUAGGGAAGAACAUAUGUGUAAGUAACUGUGCACAUCUUGACGGUACCUAAUCAGAAAGCCACGGCUAACUACGUGCCAGCAGCCGCGGUAAUACGUAGGUGGCAAGCGUUAUCCGGAAUUAUUGGGCGUAAAGCGCGCGUAGGCGGUUUUUUAAGUCUGAUGUGAAAGCCCACGGCUCAACCGUGGAGGGUCAUUGGAAACUGGAAAACUUGAGUGCAGAAGAGGAAAGUGGAAUUCCAUGUGUAGCGGUGAAAUGCGCAGAGAUAUGGAGGAACACCAGUGGCGAAGGCGACUUUCUGGUCUGUAACUGACGCUGAUGUGCGAAAGCGUGGGGAUCAAACAGGAUUAGAUACCCUGGUAGUCCACGCCGUAAACGAUGAGUGCUAAGUGUUAGGGGGUUUCCGCCCCUUAGUGCUGCAGCUAACGCAUUAAGCACUCCGCCUGGGGAGUACGACCGCAAGGUUGAAACUCAAAGGAAUUGACGGGGACCCGCACAAGCGGUGGAGCAUGUGGUUUAAUUCGAAGCAACGCGAAGAACCUUACCAAAUCUUGACAUCCUUUGACAACUCUAGAGAUAGAGCUUUCCCCUUCGGGGGACAAAGUGACAGGUGGUGCAUGGUUGUCGUCAGCUCGUGUCGUGAGAUGUUGGGUUAAGUCCCGCAACGAGCGCAACCCUUAAGCUUAGUUGCCAUCAUUAAGUUGGGCACUCUAAGUUGACUGCCGGUGACAAACCGGAGGAAGGUGGGGAUGACGUCAAAUCAUCAUGCCCCUUAUGAUUUGGGCUACACACGUGCUACAAUGGACAAUACAAAGGGCAGCGAAACCGCGAGGUCAAGCAAAUCCCAUAAAGUUGUUCUCAGUUCGGAUUGUAGUCUGCAACUCGACUACAUGAAGCUGGAAUCGCUAGUAAUCGUAGAUCAGCAUGCUACGGUGAAUACGUUCCCGGGUCU
rnacentral:rRNA from 1 species